rnacentral:rRNA from 1 species
GACGAACGCUGGCGGCGUGCUUAACACAUGCAAGUCGAACGGAAAGGCCCUGCUUUUGUGCGGUGCUCGAGUGGCGAACGGGUGAGUAACACGUGGGUAACCUGCCCUUGACUUUGGGAUAACUUCAGGAAACUGGGGCUAAUACCGGAUAGGAGCUCCUGCUGCAUGGUGGGGGUUGGAAAGUUUCGGCGGUUGGGGAUGGACUCGCGGCUUAUCAGCUUGUUGGUGGGGUAGUGGCUUACCAAGGCUUUGACGGGUAGCCGGCCUGAGAGGGUGACCGGCCACAUUGGGACUGAGAUACGGCCCAGACUCCUACGGGAGGCAGCAGUGGGGAAUAUUGCACAAUGGGCGGAAGCCUGAUGCAGCAACGCCGCGUGCGGGAUGACGGCCUUCGGGUUGUAAACCGCUUUCGCCUGUGACGAAGCGUGAGUGACGGUAAUGGGUGAAGAAGCACCGGCUAACUACGUG